UACGUAGGGAGCGAGCGUUAUCCGGAUUUAUUGGGUGUAAAGUGCGCGUAGACGGAUUUGCAAGUUGGAUGUGAAAUCCCUGGGCUUAACCCAGGAACUGCAACCAAACCUGUAAACCUUGAGUAUGGGAGAGGAAAGCGGAAUUCCUAGUGUAGCGGUGAAAUGCGUAGAUAUUAGGAGGAACACCAGUGGCGAAGGCGGCUUUCUGGACCAAAACUGACGUUGAGGCGCGAAAGUGUGGGGAGCAAAC
rnacentral:rRNA from 1 species